CAGACCCUCCUCCCAGACCCUCCCACCUCCUGGACAGCUCACUAACAAUGCAGCUUCACAAUGUAAAAUGGAUGGUGUCCAGAAGGUGGGAGGGUCUGGGAGGAAGGGUCUG